UAAUUUUAAUUGUUAACACUAAAACAUGUUAACAUAUUUUAACAUGUGUAUUAGGAACACCACUGUAUGCUUACAGAACAUGCCCAAACUCAAAACACUAAAUAAUUCAUGGAACAAUAAGUUUAUGAUAAAAUGUGAAUACAGAGCUCACAUCAUAUUAAGGAUGACUUUGUGUAGUGUUGCAAAGUUAGGACAUCCUACAGCAGCCUGGCCAUUCUAGAAUUACAGCAUGUUCAAGUAGCUCUGUUAGAAGUGUCGGGGUCUGGGAGUAUCUGUUUGUUUUCUGUUUCUUUCCUGCUAUUUACUCUGCUUAGUCCAUAGGUGGUGUGGGAGCUCAUGGGUGCAGAGGUGACAGGUGUGGCUCAUCCUGCUGAUUGCUGCUGGGACCAUUUAAGCAGGAGGCUGCCAGAACUUUAAUGCCUGAGUGUUAGCCAACAGUGGUUGCUUUUAAGCCCUGGCUAUGUUUCAUGUUUGUUUCCUGACUUCUGGAUCUAAGACUCAAGCCUCCAGUUACCUUCUCUAGAUAAACUCCAAGCUGGCAGCUUUCCUCUGGUCUAGUGCUCCCACACUCCACAUCCCUCUUUCCCCCUGGCAGUUCAAUCAUCUCAUCCAUUGGUGAUCUACCGGUCCUGUUCUCUUGCCACUAACUCAUUCAUCUGAAAAUAAAUCUCUUAAAAAU